UACGUAGGGUGCGAGCGUUGUCCGGAAUCAUUGGGCGUAAAGCGCGUGUAGGCGGUUCGAUAAGUCUGCUGUGAAAGUCCAGGGCUCAACCCUGGGAUGCCGGUGGAUACUGUCGGACUAGAGUACGGAAGAGGCGAGUGGAAUUCCCGGUGUAGCGGUGAAAUGCGUAGAUAUCAGGAGGAACACCGGUGGCGAAAGCGCCUGUCUGGCCCAAUACUGACGCUGAUGCGCGAAAGCUAGGGGAGCAAACGGG
rnacentral:rRNA from 1 species